CGGAAUCAGGAAUGGUUGUCCAGUUCUGAGAAUUGCAAAAUGACAGCAGAGGAUGUAGCUGGAAAGGUGAUGAAGAAGGAACAAAAACAAACCCUCGCCAGGAAAGAAAAGACAAGUAAAGAACUAAGUAAACCUCAGCGCCUCUUCUAGACAAAUACCACCUUUUGGCAGAAGGCCAGCCCCACAGGGAGGACUGCCGAACAUCCGGGUGCUGAGCCGGCGGGCUGGAGAGCAAAGCAGCAGUAGGUGACAAGCAGCAGAGCAAAACAAAAAGACUGACCUCGUCCUGGGGAACUGUCCUUGGCAUCCUAUGCUUCCAAGAAAAACCAAGAAUCUGAAUGCAAAAGCCCCAUAUAAUGACUCAGUUUCUACAGAAGGCUCUAUAGGAGACAGAGAUGGG
rnacentral:lncRNA from 1 species